GAGGAAGUAAAAGUCGUAACAAGGUCUCCGUUGGUGAACCAGCGGAGGGAUCAUUACUGAGUU
rnacentral:rRNA from 1 species